ensembl:snoRNA small nucleolar RNA SNORA50
AUGCACUGUCUUUGAACCUUUUUGGUCUUUUUCCGUGACCUCUUAGGCCAAGCUACAGUGCUAAAACAAAUCGGCUUGUUCAUAACUGGAGCCUCCUGGCAUCCCUCCCAGUUUGCUCUUUUAAAUGCAAGUCACAGCU